rnacentral:rRNA from 1 species
GGUUAAGCGACUAAGCGUACACGGUGGAUGCCCUGGCAGUCAGAGGCGAUGAAGGGCGUGCUAAUCUGCGAUAAGCGCCGGUAAGGUGAUAUGAACCGUUAUAACCGGCGAUACCCGAAUGGGGAAACCCAGUGUGACUCGUCACACUAUCAUUAACUGAAUCCAUAGGUUAAUGAGGCGAACCGGGGGAACUGAAACAUCUAAGUACCCCGAGGAAAAGAAAUCAACCGAGAUUCCCCCAGUAGCGGCGAGCGAACGGGGAGGAGCCCAGAGCCUGAAUCAGCAUGUGUGUUAGUGGAAGCGUCUGGAAAGGCGCGCGAUACAGGGUGACAGCCCCGUACACAAAAGCGCAUGUGCUGUGAGCUCGAUGAGUAGGGCGGGACACGUGGUAUCCUGUCUGAAUAUGGGGGGACCAUCCUCCAAGGCUAAAUACUCCUGACUGACCGAUAGUGAACCAGUACCGUGAGGGAAAGGCGAAAAGAACCCCGGCGAGGGGAGUGAAAAAGAACCUGAAACCGUGUACGUACAAGCAGUGGGAGCACAGGUUUACCUGUGUGACUGCGUACCUUUUGUAUAAUGGGUCAGCGACUUAUAUUCUGUAGCAAGGUUAACCGUAUAGGGGAGCCGUAGGGAAACCGAGUCUUAACCGGGCGUUAAGUUGCAGGGUAUAGACCCGAAACCCGGUGAUCUAGCCAUGGGCAGGUUGAAGGUUGGGUAACACUAACUGGAGGACCGAACCGACUAAUGUUGAAAAAUUAGCGGAUGACCUGUGGCUGGGGGUGAAAGGCCAAUCAAACCGGGAGAUAGCUGGUUCUCCCCGAAAGCUAUUUAGGUAGCGCCUCGUGAAUUCAUCUCCGGGGGUAGAGCACUGUUUCGGCUAGGGGGCCAUCCCGGCUUACCAACCCGAUGCAAACUGCGAAUACCGGAGAAUGUUAUCACGGGAGACACACGGCGGGUGCUAACGUCCGUCGUGAAGAGGGAAACAACCCAGACCGCCAGCUAAGGUCCCAAAGUCAUGGUUAAGUGGGAAACGAUGUGGGAAGGCCCAGACAGCCAGGAUGUUGGCUUAGAAGCAGCCAUCAUUUAAAGAAAGCGUAAUAGCUCACUGGUCGAGUCGGCCUGCGCGGAAGAUGUAACGGGGCUAAACCAUGCACCGAAGCUGCGGCAGCGAACGUAUCACCCAAGACAACUUUGCGGAGUUGACGAUUGACGGAGCGAAGCGACGUCAAAGCGUUCAUUAAAGUCGAGUUGGCUUAGGGAUACGUUCGUUGGGUAGGGGAGCGUUCUGUAAGCCUGUGAAGGUGGCCUGUGAGGGUUGCUGGAGGUAUCAGAAGUGCGAAUGCUGACAUAAGUAACGAUAAAGCGGGUGAAAAGCCCGCUCGCCGGAAGACCAAGGGUUCCUGUCCAACGUUAAUCGGGGCAGGGUGAGUCGACCCCUAAGGCGAGGCCGAAAGGCGUAGUCGAUGGGAAACGGGUUAAUAUUCCCGUACUUGGUGUUACUGCGAAGGGGGGACGGAGAAGGCUAUGUUGGCCGGGCGACGGUUGUCCCGGUUUAAGCGUGUAGGUGUGUGUUCCAGGUAAAUCCGGUUCACUUUAACACUGAGGCGUGACGACGAGGCACUACGGUGCUGAAGCAACAAAUGCCCUGCUUCCAGGAAAAGCCUCUAAGCAUCAGGUAACAUCAAAUCGUACCCCAAACCGACACAGGUGGUCAGGUAGAGAAUACCAAGGCGCUUGAGAGAACUCGGGUGAAGGAACUAGGCAAAAUGGUGCCGUAACUUCGGGAGAAGGCACGCUGAUAUGUAGGUGAAGCGGUUUACCCGUGGAGCUGAAAUCAGUCGAAGAUACCAGCUGGCUGCAACUGUUUAUUAAAAACACAGCACUGUGCAAACACGAAAGUGGACGUAUACGGUGUGACGCCUGCCCGGUGCCGGAAGGUUAAUUGAUGGGGUCAGCGCAAGCGAAGCUCCUGAUCGAAGCCCCGGUAAACGGCGGCCGUAACUAUAACGGUCCUAAGGUAGCGAAAUUCCUUGUCGGGUAAGUUCCGACCUGCACGAAUGGCGUAAUGAUGGCCAGGCUGUCUCCACCCGAGACUCAGUGAAAUUGAACUCGCUGUGAAGAUGCAGUGUACCCGCGGCAAGACGGAAAGACCCCGUGAACCUUUACUAUAGCUUGACACUGAACAUUGAGCCUUGAUGUGUAGGAUAGGUGGGAGGCUUUGAAGCGUGGACGCCAGUCUGCGUGGAGCCGACCUUGAAAUACCACCCUUUAAUGUUUGAUGUUCUAACGUGGACCCGUAAUCCGGGUUGCGGACAGUGUCUGGUGGGUAGUUUGACUGGGGCGGUCUCCUCCUAAAGAGUAACGGAGGAGCACGAAGGUUGGCUAAUCCUGGUCGGACAUCAGGAGGUUAGUGCAAUGGCAUAAGCCAGCUUGACUGCGAGCGUGACGGCGCGAGCAGGUGCGAAAGCAGGUCAUAGUGAUCCGGUGGUUCUGAAUGGAAGGGCCAUCGCUCAACGGAUAAAAGGUACUCCGGGGAUAACAGGCUGAUACCGCCCAAGAGUUCAUAUCGACGGCGGUGUUUGGCACCUCGAUGUCGGCUCAUCACAUCCUGGGGCUGAAGUAGGUCCCAAGGGUAUGGCUGUUCGCCAUUUAAAGUGGUACGCGAGCUGGGUUUAGAACGUCGUGAGACAGUUCGGUCCCUAUCUGCCGUGGGCGCUGGAGAACUGAGGGGGGCUGCUCCUAGUACGAGAGGACCGGAGUGGACGCAUCACUGGUGUUCGGGUUGUCAUGCCAAUGGCACUGCCCGGUAGCUAAAUGCGGAAGAGAUAAGUGCUGAAAGCAUCUAAGCACGAAACUUGCCCCGAGAUGAGUUCUCCCUGAGACUUUAGGUCUCCUGAAGGAACGUUGAAGACGACGACGUUGAUAGGCCGGGUGUGUAAGCGCAGCGAUGCGUUGAGCUAACCGGUACUAAUGAACCGUGAGGCUUAACCUU